rnacentral:rRNA from 1 species
CAAAAACGACUCUCGGCAACGGAUAUCUCGGCUCUCGCAUCGAUGAAGAACGUAGCGAAAUGCGAUACUUGGUGUGAAUUGCAGAAUCCCGUGAACCAUCGAGUCUUUGAACGCAAGUUGCGCCCGAAGCCGUCAGGCCGAGGGCACGUCUGCCUGGGCGUCACGCA